GAUGACAGGGAUACAACAUAUGAAGAGGAUAUCAACUUUGCUGGGACCAAGAAAAGUGAUUCAAAAAGGUACAAGUUGUCUUACAAGCUUGCUGAGCAAAAUCGAUUUUCUGGUCCUUUCUAUAUCAAGUUAAAAUGACGUUAGAACUUUUGUGAAAAAAUGAGGUUCGACUCUGUUCCUAUAUUAAUGAUAUUCAAGGUCAGGGAUAUGGAAAGAAAGCAGGUCACUCAAUGUUCUUUCUUGAGAAUAUUUUUGUUCCACCAAUCAAAUUCCGCCCUCCCACUAAAGGAGGUGAUAUGGUAAGUGUGAAUAAUAAAUAAAGACUGUUAACGAGUUGUACUAUUUCUCUAUCUUCUUUGUUUGUACUCCAUGUUCUUGCUUCUACUGUGGAGUGUGGAAUAUUUCCAAAGUUUGUCAAUGCAAGGUAUAGGUUUAGGGAAGUACUCUGAAUUUGAAAUUGUUGUGGGAUAUAAAUGUAGGAAAAAUGUACUUAUGAAAUUGUUAGCAGAUAUAUAUAGAUUGGAAAAUGAAGGAUUUUUGUUAGAAAAUUCUA